rnacentral:rRNA from 1 species
GAUGAACGCUGGCGGCAUGCCUAAUACAUGCAAGUCGAACGAGAGGAAGGAAAGCUUGCUUUUCUGAAUCUAGUGGCGAACGGGUGAGUAACACGUAGGUAACCUGCCCAUGUGCCCGGGAUAACUUCUGGAAACGGAUGCUAAAACCGGAUAGGUAGCAGACAAGCAUUUGACUGCUAUUAUAGUGGCUAAGGCCAUGAACAUGGAUGGACCUGCGGUGCAUUAGCUAGUUGGUGAGGUAACGGCCCACCAAGGCGACGAUGCAUAGCCGGGCGGAGAGGGCGGACGGCCACAUUGGGGCUGAGACACGGCCCAAACUCCUACGGGAGGCAGCAGUAGGGAAUUUUCGUCAAUGGGGGGAGCCCUGAACGAGCAAUGCCGCGUGAGUGAGGAAGGUCUUCGGAUCGUAAAGCUCUGUUGUAAGAGAAAAACGACAUUCAUAGGGGAUGAUGAGUGAGUGAUGGUAUCUUACCAGAAAGUCACGGCUAACUACGUGCCAGCAGCCGCCGUAA